rnacentral:tRNA from 1 species
CGGGGAUUAGCUCACCAGCUGGAGCACCGGGCUCUGACCCCGGAGAAGGCGGGCGGCCCUGUCAUCCCCUGCCA